UACGUAGGGCGCAAGCGUUUAUCCGGAAUUAUUGGGCGUAAAGAGCUCGUAGGCGGUUUUGUCGCGUCUGCCGUGAAAGUCCGGGGCUCAACUCCGGAUCUGCGGUGGGUACGGGCAGACUAGAGUGAUGUAGGGGAGACUGGAAUUCCUGGUGUAGCGGUGAAAAUGCGCAGAUAUCAGGAGGAACACCGAUGGCGGAAGGCAGGUCUCGUGGGCAUUAACUGACGCUGAGGAGCGAAAAGCAUGGGGGAGCGAACAGG
rnacentral:rRNA from 1 species